rnacentral:lncRNA from 1 species
CGUCACCAAACAGUGAUGCAGUUGACAUAUGUUCUAAGAACCCUACUUGGAAACCUUUGAUUAGGAAAAUGAGCACCAUUCAGUGUAGAGCCCUUAUGUGUCUCCAGAGUCUUGUGUCUCUCCUGGACAUAGACCAUCUCGGUGGAGCCCCAGCCCUUCAAACACUUGCUCAGCACCUGUCGCAGCUUCUUUUUUCUCAGCCAGAUUUUGCUAAACAUGCUGAUUUUCUAGAAGCCAUAAGUAGUGCUUUGAGGGCCCUUUUGCAAACAAUGGCCUCCAAGAACAUUCCACAGUGCAUGACACCUGAGCAGCUGAUGACACUGUGCAGAGAAGGCAUUCAUAGUAGUAGCAUCGGGGUUAGAGUGAAUGUGGUCAGUAUUUUGGGGAUCACUGGCAGUGUCCUAGCCAAAGAAGAUGGCACACUUGAAACUCUGAAGACCAUUGGGUGCUUUCUGCUGGAAGUCACCACCAAAGACCCUUCCCUCGUGGUAGCAGGAGAGGCUUUGGAUGCCCUCUUUGAUGUUUUUGCAGAUGGUGAAGAAGCUGAAAAGGCUUCAGUUCAAAUUAAAUUGUUAGCAGCUUUGAAAGAAUUCCAGCCAGUCUUCAAAAUGAAGAUGCGGAAAGAAGGGAGGGCCAGAUACAGCCCGGAUCAGCUGUGUGUUCUCGACAAUGUGAAGAUGAAUCUGAGGCGCUUUAUUGCUUACCAGGAAACUGUUGAGAAAAGACUGACUUCUUAAACCGUCAAGAGGACCAGAGCUGGGGCUGCCUCUGUAGCUGCAUGCCUCGCUGGUAUGAACAGUCCUGGGUCUGUGCCUACCUCUUGAGAAAAAAAGAAGAGGAGAAACUACUUCUCCUUUCCCUUGAACGUAUGUGCUUCCAAACGCCUUCUUUUCUUUUUUCUUUUCUUUUUUCUUUUCUUUUUGAGACAGGUUCUCUCUAGGUAGCCCCUCGUGGCCUGGAGCUCACAGAGGUCUACCUGUCUCAGUUUCCUGAUUGCUGGGAUUUUAGGUAUUCAACACCACCCCUGUCCUCUGAAAGCCUUUUUUCUUUCUUUUCUUUUUCUCCUUAAGAUUUAUUUAUUUUUUAUGAGUACAUUGCUGCUGUCUUCAGACACACCAGAAGAGGGCAAUGGACCUCAUUACAGAUGGUUGUGAGCCACCAUGUGGUUGCUGGGAAUUGAACUCAGGACCUCUGGGAGAGCAGUCAGUGCUCUUAACUGCUGAGCCAUCUCUCCAGCCUCCAAAAGCCAUUUUUCAGUACUUCAUUCUGGAUGUUAGUUUGGAUGCAAGAACCUGUAGGAAAUGUGUGUUACAUCUCCAGCAUAUUUUAGCCACUGACAAUGUGUCACAAUCUGAGGUGCUGGGGUGGCACUCAGGGCCUUGCUCCUGCUCGGUGAGCACUCUACCACUAACCACACCCCUGACCCUCAGUGUGGCUCUUAACUUAAGGGCAGUAAAGAGACUUCAGACAAUUAUGGCUGAGUUUUUUGAGAAAAGAAAUUAAGUCAUUGUUUGGAUUGAUUUUUAAAGCCAAUAUCAUUUUGUAUUAGCUAACUCCUAACUGAGAUAUCAAGAUAAGCUUUAUAAAAUAUUUUGUUAUGGAAUACUAUGUACCAAUUAUGAAUCUUUUGUGAAGUAAAUGAAUUUGUCAUUGUGUGGAUAAUGGGGUGAUUGUAUUCUGCAUGGGGUGUCUGAGCAGUUGUGUAACAUCAUUCCCUGUCUUAAUUUGAUAAGGAAUUAGAGAGUGGUAGAAAAUGCUGCUAUGGUGGUGCACACCUUUCAUCCCAGACCUUCAGAGGCAGAGGCAGGAGGAUCUCUUGAGUUCAAGGCCAACCUGGCCUACAGAUGGAGUACCAGGACAGCCGAGAGACCCUGUCUCAAAAAAAAAAUAAGAAUUAGUAGAAAAUAUUUUUGAAUAAAUAACCUUUAACUGG